AUUGAACGCUGGCGGCAUGCCUAACACAUGCAAGUCGAACGAGUGGCGGACGGGUGAGUAAUGUCUAGGCAACUUCCUCAUGGCGGGGGAUAACUACUGGAAACUGUAGCUCAUUCCGCAUACCCUCAGAUUUUCCCAUCUGGGAUUAGCUAGUUGGUGGGGUAACGGCUCACCAAGGCGACGAUCCCUAGCUGGUCUGAGAGGAUGACCGGCCACAUUGGAACUGAGAAACGGUCCAGACUCCUACGGGAGGCAGCAGUGGGGAAUAUUGCGCAAUGGGCGAAAGUCUGACGGAGCCACGCCGCGUGUAUGAAGAAGGCCUUCGGGUUGUAAAGUACUUUCAGUGGGGAGGCGUUACCGGCAGAAGAAGCACCGGCUAACUCCGUGCCAGCAGCCGCGGUAAUAC
rnacentral:rRNA from 1 species